UCCAAAUACGAAAUUUUUUAGAGUGCAAGAAAAUCAAUGUCUAGAAAAUUUAUGAGAAACCUUAUGUUGGUGAUCUUGAUGGAGAUGAUUUUGCUCGUCCAUGCCUCUUCACAUCCCAACGUCAUCAUUCAUUAUCCCCCUUAUGGCCAUCUUUGCCUUCAAAUCACACUUGAAAAAUGUAGAGAAUUACCAAAAAUCCUUGAAUUAGAGGAGUGUAUUAUCUUUAAUUUUUUCCAAUGCAUUUAUAAGAGCCCAAGUCGAAUUCCAAUCUUGAAGCUUUAUGCUAUUGCGGUAACCUGUGUAAGGUCUUGUUACCAACCUCCCAAAAUUACUCGUGGUGUCCAAAGUGCAUAUUGUUUAUUAGACUGUUGUGAAAAGCACAUCAAGGAGCAUUGAGAUGUUGUUUCUUUGGCAACUGAAUGAAGGAGAGAUGCACUUGACGGUUAGAGAUGGGACGAUGGUUUCGGUCCACUCCAUUGGAAUUAUUGAACUUUAUUUUGAAUCAAGAGUUCUAAUUUUAACCAACUAUCUAUAUGUACCCAACAUACACCGAAAUUUGAUUUCUGUGACUUUUUUUUGGGUUAGUGUGGUUAUACCUCUAUUUUGAGGGAUACAGUGAUAAUAAGGAAGGGUAAUUUAUUUAUCUGUA